rnacentral:rRNA from 1 species
UACGGGGGGAGCAAGCGUUGUUCGGAUUUACUGGGCGUAAAGGGCGCGUAGGCGGCCACGACAAGUCACUUGUGAAAUCUCCGGGCUCAACCGAGAAACGUCGGCUGAUACUGCCGUUCUUGAGGGAUGCAGAGGAGACUGGAAUUCCCGGUGUAGCGGUGAAAUGUGUAGAGAUCGGGAGGAACACCGGUGGCGAAGGCGGGUCUCUGGGCAUUUCCUGACGCUGAGGCGCGAAAGCGUGGGGAGCAAACGGG